AGCUCCAAUAGCGUAUAUUAAAGUUGUUGCAGUUAAAAAGCUCGUAGUUGAACCUUGAGCCUGGCUGGCCGGUCCGCCUCACCGCGUGCACUGGUCCGGCCGGGUUUUUCCUUCUGGGGAGCCGCAUGCCCUUCACUGGGUGUGUCGGGGAACCAGGACUUUUACUUUGAAAAAAUUAGAGUGUUCAAAGCAGGCCUAUGCUCGAAUACAUUAGCAUGGAAUAAUAGAAUAGGAGGUGUGGUUCUAUUUUGUUGGUUUCUAGGACCGCCGUAAUGAUUAAUAGGGAUAGUCGGGGGCAUCAGUAUUCAAUUGUCAGAGGUGAAAUUCUUGGAUUUAUUGAAGACUAACUACUGCGAAAGCAUUUGCCAAGGAUGUUUUCA
rnacentral:rRNA from 1 species